UAUAUUUGCACGUUAAUAGCAAAAUGCUAUUAUAUACAUAAAAAUCAUUUAAAUAAUAUUGGAAUG
rnacentral:ncRNA from 1 species